GGAAAACCGCAGCCCGACAGCCCAAUUCAAACACAAUCUGGGAAAAUCAGAGGUUCCUUUUGAAACCCUGAGAAGGAGCGGAAGGUCUGUGACAUGAGCAGAUGGGACGCGGAUGAUUUAACCCGUGCGUUGGCUGGGAGAACUCAGUGCCGGGAAGACCAGGAUCGGCGGUAGGAGCGAUGAGAGCGUUACUUAAACACCGACUGGGUACAGACCAAUGGACCGAGCGCUGGGAAAAAUCCCCAGGUGGCAGGCCCGCACUCUAUCUACGAAGGCACGCUGCUUCUCAUCGCAAGGCACGGCUCUCUGCGGACAGGCACGGUGCUCCACUGCAAGGCACACACAGAACCCGCAGGGAGGCCCAGCGGAAGAAGAAGCCAAGGAGAGAGACCUUUGCCGAUGCUCUCCUUGGCCUUCUUGUUCCCCGGAUGAGAUGUUCCGUGGCUGAUUUUGACGGUGUACGGUCAGGGGGCAGUGCAACAUCCAUUCCAAGGUAGAACUGGGUCUCUUCUAGAGGGGCUAGUUACCUGGGGAAAUUGGCAGGGAGUCUUGGCCCAGCUCCCUUUUGAAGAGACUCUCCCUUCUCUUGAAAUUUCAGACUUCACCAUUAAAUUGUCCUCCCACAGUG